UACGUAGGGGGCAAGCGUUGUUCGGAAUUACUGGGCGUAAAGGGCGCGUAGGUGGCCCCUCAAGCGUGCGGUGAAAGUCAGGGGCUCAACCCCUGAUCGGCCGUGCGAACUGGGGAGCUUGAGCACUGUAGAGGCAGGCGGAAUUCCGGGUGUAGCGGUGGAAUGCGUAGAGAUCCGGAAGAACACCGGUGGCGAAGGCGGCCUGCUGGGCAGUUUUGCUGACACUGAGGCGCGACAGCGUGGGGAGCAAACAGG
rnacentral:rRNA from 1 species